GAGGGUAUAGCUCAGUGGGAGAGCACGUGCUUAGCAUGCAUGAGGUCCUGGGUUCCAUCCCAGUACCUCCA
rnacentral:tRNA from 1 species